rnacentral:tRNA from 1 species
GCCUGGGUGGCUCAGUCGGUUGAGCGUCUGACUUCAGCUCAGGUCACGAUCUCACAGUUCGUGAGUUCGAGCCCCGCAUCAGGCU